UACGUAGGUGGCAAGCGUUAUCCGGAAUUAUUGGGCGUAAAGCGAGCGCAGGCGGUUCCUUAAGUCUGAUGUGAAAGCCCACGGCUCAACCGUGGAAGGUCAUUGGAAACUGGGGAACUUGAGUGCAGAAGAGGAGAGUGGAAUUCCAUGUGUAGCGGUGAAAUGCGUAGAUAUAUGGAGGAACACCAGUGGCGAAGGCGACUCUAUGGUCUGUAACUGACGCUGAGGCUCGAAAGCGUGGGGAGCAAACAGGAUUAGA
rnacentral:rRNA from 1 species